UACAGAGGGUGCAAGCGUUAAUCGGAAUUACUGGGCGUAAAGCGUGCGUAGACGGUCAUGUAAGUCGGGUGUGAAAGCCCCGGGCCCAACCUGGGAAUUGCAUUCGAGACUGCAUGGCUAGGAUGCGGAAGAGGGAAGCGGAAUUUCCGGUGUAGCGGUGAAAUGCGUAGAUAUCGGAAGGAACACCAGUGGCGAAAGCGGCUUCCUGGUCCAGCAUCGACGUUCAGGCACGAAAGCGUGGGGAGCAAACAGG
rnacentral:rRNA from 1 species